rnacentral:rRNA from 1 species
GCUAACGUCCGUCGUGAAGAGGGAAACAACCCAGACCGCCAGCUAAGGUCCCAAAGUCAUGGUUAAGUGGGAAACGAUGUGGGAAGGCCCAGACAGCCAGGAUGUUGGCUUAGAAGCAGCCAUCAUUAAAGAAAGCGUAAUAGCUCACUGGUCGAGUCGGCCUGCGCGGAAGAUGUAACGGGGCUAAACCAUGCACCGAAGCUGCGGCAGCGACGCUUAUGCGUUGUUGGGUAGGGGAGCGUUCUGUAAGCC